CCAAUAGCGUAUAUUAAAGUUGUUGCAGUUAAAAAGCUCGUAGUUGAAUUUCGGGAUUGACGUGAUGGUCGUGCCUUACGGGGUAUGAACUGUCGCAGUUGAUUUCUCACCUUCUGGAGAAGCUCGAUGUCCUUAAUUGGGUGUCUUGCGGAACCAGGACCUUUACCUUGAAAAAAUUAGAGUGUUUAAAGCAGGCAUUGUGCUCGAAGACAUUAGCAUGGAAUAAUAGAAUAGGACGGCAUGGUUCUAUUUUGUUGGUUUCUAGGAUCACCGUAAUGAUUAAUAGGGAUAGUUGGGGGCAUUAGUAUUCAAUUGUCAGAGGUGAAAUUCUUGGAUUUAUUGAAGACUAACUACUGCGAAAGCAUUUGCCAAGGAUGUUUUCAUUAAUCAAGAACGAAAGUUAGGGGAUCGAAGACGAUCAGAUACCGUCGUAGUCUUAACCAUAAACUAUGCCGACUAGGAAUCAGACGAUGUUAAUUUUUUAAUGACUCGUUUGGCACCUUACG
rnacentral:misc_RNA from 1 species